rnacentral:rRNA from 1 species
GACGAACGCUGGCGGCGUGCUUAACACAUGCAAGUCGAGCGGUAAGGCCCUUUCGGGGGUACACGGAGCGGCGAACGGGUGAGUAACACGUGGGUGACCUGCCUUUAGCUCUGGGAUAAGCCUGGGAAACCGGGUCUAAUACCGGGAUAUGGACUCCGCGGCGCAUGUUGUGGGGUGGAAAGCCUUGUGCGGCUGGAGAU